rnacentral:misc_RNA from 1 species
AGCAGCCGCGGUAAUUCCAGCUCCAAUAGCGUAUAUUAAAGUUGUUGCAGUUAAAAAGCUCGUAGUUGAAUUUCGGGAUUGGCGCAUCGGUCGUGCCUCACGGGGUAUGAACUGGUGCAGUCAAUUUCUCACCUUCUGGAGAACCGCGAUGUCCUUAAUUGGAUGCCGCGGGGAACCAGGACCUUUACUUUGAAAAAUUGAGUGUUUAAAGCAGGCAUUUUUGCUUGAAUACAUUAGCAUGGAAUAAUAAAUAGGACGGCAUGGUUCUAUUUUGUUGGUUUCUGGGACCACCGUAAUGAUUAAUAGGGAUAGUUGGGGGCAUUAGUAUUCAAUUGUCAGAGGCGAAAUUCUUGGAUUUAUUGAAGACUAACUACUGCGAAAGCAUUUGCCAAGGAUGUUUUCAUUAAUCAAGAACGAAAGUUAGGGGAUCGAAGACGAUCAGAUACCGUCGUAGUCUUAACCAUAAACUAUGCCGACUAGGAAUCAGACGAUGUUAAUUUUUAAUGGUCUCGUUUGGCAC